UACGAAGGUGGCAAGCGUUGUUCGGAUUUACUGGGCGUAAAGGGCGCGUAGGCGGCCCUCCUAGUCGCGUGUGAAAGCCCGGGCUCAACCUGGGAAUUGCGCGCGAAACGGGGGGGCUUGAGUUCGGGAGAGGAGCGUGGAAUUCCGUGGUGUAGCGGUGAAAUGCGCAGAUAUCAGGAGGAACACCAAUGGCGAAGGCAGCUCGCUGGGACGGUACUGACGCUGAGACGCGAAAGCGUGGGGAGCAAACAGG
rnacentral:rRNA from 1 species